rnacentral:rRNA from 1 species
UACAAACAAUCGUUACAACUUUCAACAAUGGAUCUCUUGGCUCUGGCAUCGAUGAAGAACGCAGCGAAAUGCGAUAAGUAGUGUGAAUUGCAGAAUUCAGUGAAUCAUCGAAUCUUUGAACGCACAUU